rnacentral:lncRNA from 1 species
CUGCGUAAUCGUGUAACCGGUGGCAGAACAAAGUGUACCGGUACACUUUGGUCUGGCAGAAACAAUAAGGUCUGCUGCAAAUAGAAAGAAGUAGAGGAUUUUUUUUGAUAAUUGUUACAAGAUAAUAACACCCUAGCACCCCUCCCCUCUCCCUUUCACAGCCAUUUCACCCCCUCCUCUUAUUUCCCUUUUUCUCUCUCUAGAAAUCUCCUCCAAGGGCAAGGAGGAGUUGGAAAAGGUGCUAAAGGUGUAUUUGGAGGAUUAGGAGGCUAGGGUUCUCUCCUACAAGGUGGACUUUGGUGAGCUUGUGACCAAGGUGAGGUUUUAUAGAAAGUUGAGUCUAGGGUUUGGGUUUUGUACCCUAGGAAGCUAGGUUUUGGAGUUUCUACAAGUGUAGAAACCUCUAGUGGCCAUGGAAACAUGAAAACUCAUGUUUUCUUCAAGUGCUCUAAUGGUGGAUUUUUAAGAUUUGCGAUAGUGGUGGUGGUUAGAGUUGUUGAAAGACCACGAUAUUACCAUUCUAUACCACCCACGGAAGGCGAAUGUCAUGGCCGAUGCACUUAGUAGUUAAAUCGGAGAAAAAUUUGGCUUCGGCAAUUACACCCCAACCAUUAUUAAAAAAGAGAUGCAACGGCUUGGUUUCGAAGUAGUAGUGCCGGGAGUGCCGACUACACUUGCUACCUUAGUGGUGCAACCGACCUUGUUGUAGAGGAUAAAAGAGUUGCAAGCUUCUGAUGAGUAUCUCCAAAAUGUGCGCGGUGAAGCUGAGAGCGGUAGUGCCGAUGAUUUUGGCAUUGGGACCGGCGGCACACACCGAUUUCGAAAUCGUUGGUGUGUACCUAAGAACAAGGAUCUUCGCAAUGCGAUUAUGCAAGAAGCGCAUCAAUCUCCUUAUAGUAUCCACCCCGGCAGCACCAAAAUGUACCAAGAUUUGAAGAUGCACUAUUGGUGGCCGGGCAUGAAGAAAGACAUUGGGGAGUUUGUUGCGCAAUGUCUUACUUGCCAGCAAAUAAAAGCGGAGCGGCGGUUUCCGACGGGGAAAUUAUAAAGCUUACCUAUACCCGUUUGGAAAUGAAAAAUUAUCGCAAUGGACUUCGUGACCGGAUUGCCCCGAUCUCAAGGUAGACAUGAUACAAUUUGGGUGAUAGUAGACCGGUUGACGAAGUCGGCGCAUUUCCUACCAAUUCAUAUUAUUUGAUCGGGGGACAAGUUGGCCCAAGUGUACUUAGACGAGGUUGUGAGACUUCACGGGGUUCCAGUAUCAAUAGUAUCGGAUCGGGACCUAAGGUUCACGUCUCACUUUUGGAGGAGCCUACAAGAGGCAUUGGGCACACGGCUCGACUUUAGCACGGUAUUUCAACCUCAAAGUGACGGUCAAUCAGAGAGGACGAUACAAAUACUUGAGGAUAUAUUUCGAGCGUGUGUACUAGACUACAAGGGCGGUUGGUAUGAUCAUCUACCGAUGGCGGAGUUCGCGUACAAUAAUAGUUAUCAAGAGAGUAUCGCGAUGGCGCCAUUCGAGGCCCUUUAUGGAAAGAAAUGUCGCUCGCCAAUCCAUUAGAGCGAUGUGCACGAGAGAGCUGCUCUUGGCCCGCAUGUGGUGAGGGAGGCGGAGAAGAAAGUUUGCCUUGUCCGCCAAAGACUCACUACGGCGCAAUCUCGGCAAAAAAGCUAUGCCGACAAACAGAGAAAAGACAUAGAGUAUGCAGUUGGCGACCACGUCUUUCUAAAGGUAUCGCCGAUGCGAGGAAUUAGAUGGUUCGGCCUCCGUGGGAAGCUAAGUUCUUGGUAUCUUGGACCGUUUGAGGUGUUGGAGCGGGUCGGCGCGGUGGCAUACAAGAUAGAAUUACCACCGAGGCUUGCGGGAGUAUACGACGUGUUCCAUGUAUCGAACCUCCGCAAGUACAUUCAUGACCCCGAGCAUGUCCUAUCGUUUGAGCCGUCCGAGAUUCAAGAGGACAUGACUUACGAGGAGUUCCUGGCGUAUAUUAUCGACCGAGAAGUGAGAAAAUUAUGGAACCGUGAGAUUUCGUAUGUUAAAAUUCAUUGGAGUAACCAUGAUGAUCGGGAAGCCACUUGGGAGCUCGAGAGUGCAAUGUGGGAGCAUUACCCUUAUCUCUUCACUGAGCUGAAUUGAGGUAUAAGUUUAAGUUUAAGUUAAGUAAGUUUCGUGGACGAAACUAAUUUUAAGGGGUGGAGAAUGUAACGUAUCGAAACCCGGGAGAAAUUAUCGAGCUUUAGCCAAAUUGGUUAAAGUUGUCGAAAAAAAAAUUGGACAAGUUCCAAUUAGCAUUCCAAUAAUGUUGGAAGGACUAAAAAUGAGUUUAAGAGGUGUUAGAAGGAUUUUAGCAUCGAACGGCGCGGAACAGAAUCAAAAACGACGCAAAAUGGCAUUCUGGAGCAAAGUGUGCCGGUACAACCAGCGAGUUGUCACCGGUAUAGCCCUGUAGUCUGAGAGAAAGCUGCUCUCGGGUUUGAGUUUUCACGGAAAUGUACCGGUACACCCCUGGUGUGUACCGGUACACUUUGGUAAAAUCCGAGCAGNGUUUCGUGGACGAAACUAAUUUUAAGGGGUGGAGAAUGUAACGUAUCGAAACCCGGGAGAAAUUAUCGAGCUUUAGCCAAAUUGGUUAAAGUUGUUGAAAGAAAAAGUUGGACAAAUUCCAAUUAGCAUUCCAACAAUGUUAGAAGGGCUAAAAAUGAGUUUAAGAGGUGUUAAAAGGGUUUUAGCAUCGAACGACGCGAAACAGAAUCGAAAACAGCACAAAAUGGCAUUCUGGAGCAAAGUGUACCGGUACAACCAGCGAGUUGUCACUGGUACAGCCCUGCAGCCCGAGAGAAAGCUGCUCUCGGGUUUGAGUUUUUGCGGAAAUGUACCGGUACACCCCUGGUGUGUUCUGGUACACUUUGGUAAAAUCCAAGCAGUUGCUCUCGGGUUGCUCUCUGCGUAAUAGUGUAACCGUUGGCAGAACAAAGUGUACCGGUACACUUUGGUCUGGCAGAAACAAUAAGGUCUGCUGCAAAUAGAAAAAAAUGGAGGAUUUUUUUUGGUAAUUAUUAUAAUAUAAUAACACCCUAACACCCUUCCCCUCUCCCCUUCACAGCCAUUUCACCCCCUCUUCUUAUUUCCCUCUUUUUCUCUCUAGAAAUCUCCUCCAAGGGUAAGGAGAAGGAGUUGGAGAAGGUGCUAAAGAUGGAUUUGGAGGAUUAGGAGGCUAGGGUUCUCUCCUACAAGGUGGACUUUGGUGAGCUUGUGAC